GGACUUGUCGAUCUCGAGGCUGCUGUUUGUCUUUGCACUGCCAUCAAAGCUAACCUUCUCGGGAUCAACCUCAAUGUUCCGCUUUCUCUUAGCUUGCUUCUCAAUGUUUGCGAGAAGAAGGUCCCAUCUGGCUUCCAGUGCCCUUGAGUUUAACCAGGCGUGCUUUAUAAUUAUGCACGAGUGUGUACUCUUUUAUGAGUUUUUAAAUUUGUUGUGGGUUAAGUUGUCGAAGUGUGAGUUUGGGGUUGAUUCAGUUGUGUGAUAUCAGACAUAUGAUCUGUGUGUUUGUAGAUCUAAUAUUCCACUGUUCUGUAUUGUAUGUACUUCGAAUAAUUGAGUUCUUGUUGUGUACCAUGUUCUUUCCGGCUAAUGGCACUGGCGAGGUGAUUAACCUAUAGAAAAGGAACAACAAGGUUUCAGUUAUUGAACGAUAUCAAAGAAAGUGGCAGUCUACUGCACUUGCCCAUUUCACUGCCCAACUAUCCAUUUCACUAUCAUUCUCACUGCACUGCUCAUUUCACAAUGACAGACGAUGAUGCUUCAUUUACCUGUAGAUGAAAGACCAUGAACGCCUACAACAAUGGGCAGCCUGGAGUCGGCAACAACGGAAAGGAUUACCUCUCUCUGGUCCAAACAAACCGAGCCUGUAAGCAACGAUCCAAUACUCGUUCAAUAUGCUUCAUCUUCUUACAAGGCACUUGCUUCUAUCUUGACGCAUGGGCGAGGAUAAAGCCGGAGCACGAUGCCAAACCCUUCACCGCAAGGUUUUCGGUGCAAAAGUUAAUCAAGAGGUAAAAAGCAUUGGUUAACGGACAACAACGAGACAAAAGCACACCCCUGUUUAGAUUACCUCAUGAAGAACAGAGUUGCGCUUCCACUCACCUGACCAAUAACGCUGUAAAUUUUGGAAUUAAGAGUUACUACACAGAAGAAAUCACACAUGAGACUGUCGAGGUGAUCAGAAAUAUUGUGUGGUAUGGCGGUCCAAUAGUUGGUAGGCAUGCGAUAUGUGAAAACUACACCAACACGAGCCGACCUUACCGCACCAACUUUGAGGAAGUUCUACAAAACCUACACCAAUAUUUGGUUGGCUCGUUAGAUGAGACACCACCUUCCAAGUUGCAACAUUACCCAUGCUGAACUACGGGGUGCAGUCGAAAGGUUUGAGUUCAUUUGACAGUUUGGCUUUCGUAAUGUUACUCUGGAGUUUGAUUUGAGAUGUUCUCUCGACCUCCGGGAGGAACAUGCAAUGAUAUGACCACCAACAUGCUGCUUUGCGUGGCAGAUUUCGUGAACUACGUGCUCGAGACCGGCAGCUCAAGCUAGUUCACAUCUACAGAGAGGCUAAUUCCGCUGUUGAUUAUUUAGUUCGUCCGGGUCACUCUAUCUCUUACGGGAUCCACCACAUGACCUCGUACCUUACCGACUUUAUAUGAACAAACCGGUUAUUUCAUGAUCAUUUAUCCCUACUCUAAGACAAAUUUGUACCCACUUCUAUCUGGUUGUCAUUCGUACCAGCAGAUGCUUGUUUUGAAGUUGUUAAUGAUGGAAUAUAUGUUCAUUAUUUGGAGAUGUGAAGAUCAAGCACAUAUUUUAAUAGUUAAUACCGUGUGCAUGUGGACAGCGAUAUGAUUAAUCACGAGACGAGUACUGACAAAUUAAAUUAGUGUAAUCAUGAUCACGAGACAAACAGUAAUAGAAUCAACCUCCCAUAUAUAAUCUAUUCAUGUGUUUACAUAUGAAAAUUUGAAUGCGAUAAAUCUACCUUUGAUUUUUUGGAACCAGAUUAAUUAUACGAUUAAUACCUCUUCAAAUUAAUAGCAUUUUCAUAUCCGUAUUAUUUUAAUAAUUGUUAAGUGAUUUAGAAGAUGAUGUAAUACUUUUUUNNNNNNNNNNNNNNNNNNNNNNNNNNNNNNNNNNNNNNNNNNNNNNNNNNNNNNNNNNNNNNNNNNNNNNNNNNNNNNNNNNNNNNNNNNNNNNNNNNNNNNNNAGAAAUGGGUAAUCAAUUUUUAAAAUGGAAAUUAUCAAAAAAACUAUUAUAUUUACUGUUAUUCUGAUAGAAGUUUGAGAGAAAUCGAAACUAUAAAACUACGCCUAUGUUUAUUAGAACGUAAAGUGCAAAGAAAGAUAAAUUUAAAUAAACAAUUCUUUAUUAGUUAAUUUUUAUAUUUAUAGGGAGUCAUAAAUUGUUACUGUCACAAAAGAAAACUUUUGUAUAAGAAAAUUGUCACCGAAGUUACCUCUUACAUCCUGUUUGUGGCUAUAUAUAAUUAUGAUGUCAUGAUUUGUGGAGUAGAGAAUUGGGGGAUGGUGUUGAAGCGGGAUGUGGGCGGGAUUUAGUGGACGGAGGAAUGGGCUUGAAUGAAUUAUUAUGUAAUGGGCCUGACUCGUUCCCAAGGACACGGAAGGCCGUUGCCCCACAGUUCAAAUAUAUCGGCUACAAUUUGCAUUUUAUUUUCCCAUCUCCUCAACUCCAUUACCAUACCCACAAGCCAAGUUAGAAAAUAAUUGGUAUGGUUGUUCAUGCUUGUUUUGGUGUGUUUGAUCCAUAUACAAAUAUUUUUAAUUUCUCACAAUUCAUUAAGAGAGGAUUCUGAUUGAUAUUUAUGUUAUUUACUAAUAUUUUUCGUCCUCUUAAAUGGAAGCUCUUAUAAUUAGGGAUAAGGUUGGUACAUCUGCGAUAAGGUUGGUACAGCUGCGAUAAGGCAUUUGCACAUAUUUUGUGCUCUACUAUUGGGAUUCAAAACAGAAAUCUCCCGAUUAUGUAAGGCUCUGAUACAAUGUCAUGAUCCGUUGCAUCCCAACAAUAACUCAAGUUAUUGGGAGAAGAUUCUGAUUGAUACCCUCAAACGGAAGCUCUCAUAAGAGUUGAGAUUUGGACAGCUUCGAUAAGUCAUAUGCACAGAGUGGAGCCUAUCGAGAUUCAAAACGGAGACCUCUUCGUCAUGUAUCACUCUAAUAUUAUGUCAUAAAUCGUUUUAUCUCAAUAAUUCAAAUUGCUGAAAAAAAAUUCUGAUUGAUAUUUAUAUAAUUUACUAAGGUUUCCAUACAUAUCAUCACACAUCUUCCUAUCUAUAUAAACCCCUCAGUUCCUCUUCUCUGAAACCACACAAUAGCAUCAUCUAAUAUCUUGUAUUUCACUCUUUCUCACCAUCCUAAAACAACAAAAAAUGGCGUAUUCUACCAAGACAGCAACCCUAGCUCUGUUCCUAGCCCUGAACCUCCUCUGCUUCUCAGCCUCCCCUGCCACUGCCACAGUAGACACAUGCCCGUACGACAUAAUCAGGCUUAGCGUUUGCACUGACCUGCUCGGGUAUCUGCUCAGGAUCAGGAUCGGAACCGCGCCUCCUAGCGCACCCUGCUGCACCCUCAUCACCGGGGUGGCUGAUCUCGACGCUGCUGUUUGUGUUUGCGCUGCCCUCAAAGCCAACGUUCUCGGAACCAUCACUAACCUCAAUCUUGCCCUCACCUUGCUUCUCAAUCAGUGUGGCAGGCCCGUUCCAACCGGCUUCACCUGCGCUUACUGAUCAAUCAAAAAUCGAAAUGCAUGCUUACGUAGUUUGUGUUUGAUGUCAAUUGUAUGGUGCCUAGAGGCAUCGGUUGACGUCUGUAAUGUUCUUAUACUACUAUGAAUAAAUGGAUGAAAAUCAAGCAGUUUAUUACUUUGUCUACAUCUUAUAUAUCAUGCUGUUAGUCUCCGCAAUUUCGAAAAAAAAAUCGACAACAGUUGUAUUGGGUACCAACAAAACUAUCCAUAUGAUAAUCAAAUUAUAUGUAUCAUCCAAAUACAAAGAUGUAAAAAGAGUAAAAGACAUAUUGAAACAAAUACUAUAUAGUUAAUAUUUUUCAUAUCUCAUGCGCAUACUAAAAUACAUACUUAAAAGGAUUAUCCGAGUAUCAAAUUAUAUUGUUAAUACUCUCACACGAUGACAGUUUGUCGAUUUAUGGUCAAGAUCGUAAUUUGAAAAUGCAUCAAAAUAAAAAAGAAUUACGAACUCGAGAAUUUGAACAACUUGAUUGUAUUCCCUAUAUAAUAGGACAACUACAAGCAAAUAGAUUCCAUAUAUANNNNNNNNNNNNNNNNNNNNNNNNNNNNNNNNNNNNNNNNNNNNNNNNNNNNNNNNNNNNNNNNNNNNNNNNNNNNNNNNNNNNNNNNNNNNNNNNNNNNNNNNNNNNNNNNNNNNNNNNNNNNNNNNNNNNNNNNNNNNNNNNNNNNNNNNNNNNNAGGAAUCUCAAAUAGGGAUUAAAAAAUAUGAAAUAAGAAACAAAAUAAUAGGGAUGAAUCAACACAAGUGAACAUGGCAAUUUGUCGGGCUAAAACCAUCUUCAAUAUUAAGUCUCAAAUGGCUAUAUUUGAGUUUUAUAUUUAGCAUUUUAUAUUUUUCAAAAGAUAUUAUAUGCUUGAUAGAUAUGUUUGUGCUGUUACGGAUAUUUAUGGAGAUUAGAUGAAAAGUUAUUGUAAUUAUAAAUAUUAAAUUUUAUUUUAUAACAUAUUAUAAUUAUUUAGUCCCAACUUUAGCCAAUAUAGAACAAAAAAUUAUAUUUUUAAAGCAUUUAAAACUUUAGUCUUAUACAUUAAAAAAAUUUAAUUUUAUAAUUUAGCUAUUUAAUCAUUUAAGCCUUGGAGAUGAUCUAAUAAACACAAAGUACCAAAGGUUGGCACAAAAAUUGAUGUGUCUUUUUCCAGAUGUACAGCUACAACAAAUCUGGAUCCUUUCUCAUCCUUUCUCAAUUCCCCAAAUUACCCCUCACUCGAGCACUAUAAAACCAACCCUUUCCCUCACUCACUUCCCUCACACCAAUCCCACAGUAGUAAACAUAGCAGCAAUGGCUUCCAAUGCCAACUCAACCAUUGCUCUGUUCCUAGUCCUCAACGUUCUCUUCUUCACCAUGGUCUCAGCCACACACAAUGGCUGCCCACCUCCCCCGCCGAAACCAACCGACUGCCCGCCUUCCCCAUCCAAACCGAAACCAACCCCUUCCUCCGCGAAAUGCCCCGUUGACACCCUGAAAUUGGGAGUGUGUGGCAAUGUUUUGGGCUCAUUGCUCAAGAUCAAGAUCGGGGACCCACCGGUCAAGCCUUGCUGUAGUUUGAUAGAAGGGCUAGUCGAUCUCGAGGCUGCUGUUUGCCUUUGCACCGCCAUUAAGGCCAACAUUCUCGGGAUCCACCUCAAUGUUCCGGUUUCUCUUAGCUUGCUUCUCAAUGUUUGCAGCAAGAAGGUUCCGUCCGGAUUCCAGUGCCCCUAGAUUGAUUAUGAGAACUAUUGAACUAUUUUAUGUUUCGGUUCAUUGAUCAUGAACUUAUUAUUUGGAGUUUUUGGGGCUUGGUUGUUGAAGUUGUCAAAGUGUUCAUUUCUGAGGUAACACAUAUGUUAUCUAGUUUGUAUCUGGUGAUUUCUUAUUCUUCGAUUGUGUGUACUAUGAAAGGUUGAUUUAAGUUGUGUACUAUUGGGAAAAGGUGGAAAUGAUAGGUUUGAUUGUUCUUAAUCUUUACUAAUAUAUAAAUUUCUGGUAAUAUUCAUGUUAGUACGGAUAAAAAAAUAGUAUAAAAUU
rnacentral:lncRNA from 1 species